AGCAGCCGCGGUAAUUCCAGCUCCAAUAGCGUAUAUUAAAGUUGUUGCAGUUAAAAAGCUCGUAGUUGAAUUUCGGGACCAAUCUGCCGGUCGUGCCUCCGGUACGCACUGGUUUUAUUGGUCUCUCCCUUCUGACGAACCAUGAUGUCAUUAAUUUGGUGUCAUGGGGAAAUCAGGACUGUUACUUUGAAAAAAUUAGAAGUGUUUAUAGCAGGCUCACGCUUGAAUACAUUAGCAUGGAAUAAUGAAAUAGGACGUUUGACCCUAUUUUCGUUGGUUUCUAGGAUCGACGUAAUGAUUAAUAGGGAUAGUUGGGGGCAUUAGUGAUUCAAUUGUCAGAGGUGAAAUUCUUGGAUUUAUUGAAGACUAACUACUGCGAAAGCAUUUGCCAAGGAUGUUUUCAUUAAUCAAGAACGAAAGUUAGGGGAUCGAAGACGAUCAGAUACCGUCGUAGUCUUAACCAUAAACUAUGCCGACUAGGGAUCGGAUGAUGUUAAUUUUUUUCAAUGACUCAUUCGGC
rnacentral:rRNA from 1 species